rnacentral:rRNA from 1 species
GAUCAGGUAGGGAUACCCGCUGAA